rnacentral:rRNA from 1 species
AAUAGAUACCCCGGUAGUCCACGCCGUAAACGAUGUCGACUUGGAGGUUGUGCCCUUGAGGCGUGGCUUCCGGAGCUAACGCGUUAAGUCGACCGCCUGGGGAGUACGGCCGCAAGGUUAAAACUCAAAUGAAUUGACGGGGGCCCGCACAAGCGGUGGAGCAUGUGGUUUAAUUCGAUGCAACGCGAAGAACCUUACCUACUCUUGACAUCCAGAGAACUUAGCAGAGAUGCUUUGGUGCCUUCGGGAACUCUGAGACAGGUGCUGCAUGGCUGUCGUCAGCUCGUGUUGUGAAAUGUUGGGUUAAGUCCCGCAACGAGCGCAACCCUUAUCCUUUGUUGCCAGCGGUUAGGCCGGGAACUCAAAGGAGACUGCCAGUGAUAAACUGGAGGAAGGUGGGGAUGACGUCAAGUCAUCAUGGCCCUUACGAGUAGGGCUACACACGUGCUACAAUGGCAUAUACAAAGAGAAGCGACCUCGCGAGAGCAAGCGGACCUCAUAAAGUAUGUCGUAGUCCGGAUUGGAGU